GAUUUCGUGGUGUAGUGGUCAUUACGUUCGCUUUACACGCGAAAGGUCCUCGGUUCGAUCCCGGGCGAGAAUU